UACGGGGGGGGUAAGCGUUGUUCGGAAUUACUGGGCGUAAAGGGCUCGUGGGCGGCCAACUAAGUCAUACGUGAAAUCCCUCAGCUUAACUGGGGAACUGCGUGUGAUACUGGAUGGCUUGGAUUUGGGAGAGGGAUGCGGAAUUCCAGGUGUAGCGGUGAAAUGCGUAGAUAUCGAGAGGAACACCUGCGGCGAAGGCGGGUUGCUGGGCUGACACUGACGCUGAGGCGCGAAAGCUAGGGGAGCGAACGGG
rnacentral:rRNA from 1 species